GCAGGGUAUCUGGAGGCCCGCCCUGACUGCCAACAGCUGACCCAUGAGCAGCCUGCAAUAGGAGCUUUCUUCUCUUUGGGGGAAGGAGAGUGACCCUGUGGACAGUUUCAGGACAUGUCACAGGUUUGACCACCUCUGUGGCUAAGGCACCUGGGUCCAAUUAUCCAGGGCCCCAUCUACCUAGAAGAAAAAACUGCAUUUGACUCUCCCAGACUGACUGCACUCUCACCAGACUCUCAUCCUCUUUCUCACAUGAACUUAAAGGAAUGCAAGUGGUAGAGGGGACCAUGGCUGUUGAAAUACACCCUCUAGGAUUUCAUCACUGUUUCAUGUGUUAAAACAGCCUUAAGUUUGAUCAUCAGCAACUUACUCCUCUGCACAGGUUGUCCUGGUAAAAGAAUGAGAUGCUUAUUUUUUUCCCAACUUCACUGAGAUGCAACUGACAUAUAGCAAUGGGAGUUCAUGGUUUCCAGUCUUACUUUUAAGUCCCUAAGCCAUUUCCAGUGUUUUAUAACUUUAUGAACCAGUCAUUCCUGAGGGAGAAAAGUUUCAGCAUCUCUGUGUUCCACAUCAGAAGGCCCCAAGUUGAGGAACGAAACUGAGUCUGCAUGCAGCCCCUGCUUCAGAUUUGGUCAAAUCAUGAUUUCCCAUCACCUAAGGAACCCAGAAGUUGUUCAAAGAUAAUUAAGGCCCGGACCUGACUAGCAGAGUUUCACAUCAGAUGAAGAAAGCGGGAUUUAGAGUAUCCAGACUCAGCUGAAGACUGGAUCCAAAUCCAGACUGAUCCCACAAUCUUGCUUUUUUAUGUCAUCCUCCCCUUAUAGUACCCUGGUCUGCAGGCAGCCUCAAGGACAUCUGAAAAAUGAUUCCUUAAAGAACACAUGGCCAGUAGGAACACCUGAGUUGGCAGUGCUGGAUGAGACGAGUCAGUCCCAGCCAGCUCAACUUGAAUAGGGAAUAAAUGGCAUUGUACCAGGCUCACCUGUAAUUCUGCCUCAACCAUGCAAUUUAGGGUUUAAUUAUAUGCUGUCUUGAGUUGUUUACUAAUUGUUGCAGAGGUCAAUCUUUUACUUUUAUUCAUCAUUCUUCAUU
ensembl:lncRNA